CAUGAUGGAUGAAGGCAAGAAGGCAAAAAAAUUUGAGUGGGGCAUCCGUCUUGAGAUUAGAAAACAGCUGCACGUAUUUGAGCUCAGUACUUACUCAGCCGUUUUGGCUAAGGCAUAGCUAAUGGAGAGGAACCUUUACAUCUUUCCUCCAGCAGUGGAGAAUCCCAAACCCUCGAUUUCACACCGCAGACCAGCACUUAC
rnacentral:lncRNA from 1 species